CUUCUAUCUUGAUGUUCAUGUGUUCUUCUUGAUUCUACCUUAACUCUUGAAGCAUAUUUUGGUUUUUGGUUGUGUUGUGAGCAUUUAGUCAUGAAUUAAAAUGAAGGAAAUGGUUGUUGUUUCAUGUUCUUUUGAUGAAAAUUGGAAGAUAGGUGAAGUUGAGCCAAACAAAUGAACAUGCAUGUGCCUUAGAUGCUAAAGGGAAAAAUGGGCUAGCAUGUUGUGCUUUAAAAUGAUGAAAUGGAGAUUAUACUUAAGUAAAAUCAUAGAUAUGUGAUGAUUGAUUGGUGAUAUACAUGUUUAAAUAACAUGCAUGCAAGUUAUGUGUGAAAGAGUGAAUUUGGUAAUAAAUCUGCUUGGGACAGCAGCAGUAACGUGACUUUGGAAAAUCACCAUAAAUUGUGGAAGAUGAAUUAGAAGCUGAAUAAAUUAUGUAAUUAAAGCUUGUUGAGUCUAGUUUCAAAUGAAAUAAACGAGAACAUAUUUUGAAUUCUGUACAAUGAGAAAUUUGAUUUGUAAUGAAGAGUGGUCAGAUUAGUCAAACAGUGAAACAUGCGAAACUUUGAGAUAAAUCUGGUAUUGAUUGGCCGAACCAAAAAUUCUGAAAAUUUUAUGGAUAUAAGAUAUAUGAGUCUAUUUUCAGGGAAAAUUAAAGGCACUUGAUUUUGAGUUUCAUAGCUCCAGUUAUAAAUGAUUUAGUGACUGUUGCUCAGGAAGACAGCUUGCAGUGAAAUUAUGAUUAUGUGGUAAACAUUGACAAAAAUUUGUUAAUGAGUUGCUUAUUGAUUUCUUAUAAGCUUACUAUGAUCUGUAGGUGUGGUUGGCCGAAUAUUGUAAGGGGUUAAUACGUAGUUUGUAUUUGAAUAGUUAGAUUAACGUGUUAGUAAUCCAAUUGUAGGCGGUUCGUGUGUGGAUCUCGUCAGCAUAUCAUCGCAAACAGGUGUGUAACUAACACCCUCUUUCUUAGUCUGGAUCGGCAAAAGUCGAAAUGCCGAAAUGCCGAAAACUGGUAUUUUGUAGAUUUGCAAGUGUGCGAAUGCUCGUGAGGUAAAUCGAUUAAUGUUUGUGGUAAGCUGCAAAAUUUGGACUGCAAAGUGCAUGAUUUCUGUGCCCUUGAUAUUUUUGGGCUUAAUGGGCCAAAAUUGGAAUGAUGGGUCAACGGGCCCAAUUCGGUAAGAACCCUCGGUACAUGAUUCUGUUAGUACGCGAAAAGUAGGAAUAUGCAUGAAAAACCCUAAAAUAGAUAAAUUACUGAAAUACCUUUAAAAGUAGAAAAUUUAUUGUUUUACCCCUAGUAGAUAAAUUACCGAAAUACCCCUAGGAUUAAAUUGACCUAAAUGCAUGUUUGACUGUUGUUAUUUACUGCAUGCCAUGUUGUUAUUAUCUGAUGCAUGGGAUUGGGAUAUUGACGGAGGAAGUACUGAAAGUGGCUUGUCCAUGUACUAGAGGCUUUGCCUCGAUUUACUGUUAACUGAGCAGCAAGGCUGCAACUGUGGAGUGUUGGGCUGGGUGGGUUGAGCUAUUCCCCACAUGGAGUGUAGGGCUGGUACGGGUGGAGUGUAGUGGUUGGUGGGUUGAGUAGUCUCCCCAAAUGGGCUUGCAUAUGUUAUUGAUGUUGCAUGUAUUUUGAAAUGGGCCUAUGGGCCAUACUGUUAUCUGAAUAAGGGGCUAAGGCCCAGUUUAUUGUAAUCUGAAAAGGGCUCUGGUCCAAUACCACUAUUACCUGAAUGGGCUUAGGCCCAAUAGGCUUGAGCUGUCUUGGGCAUUGAAUGGGUUUUCCUUACACACUGAGUUUCCCCAAACUCACCCCUUUUAUUUUCAUCCACGCAGGAAAUCCCCAACCAUAGUGGGCUUGGAGCUGUGAGGGAAUUCGGAGUGGCCACCCGUUCUGAAAGUUUGGUUUUCUUCUGGUGAACUGGACAUCCUAUUAUUUACGUUGAGGUUUGGGUUUUUUAAUGUAAUAAGGCCGCUUAAUUAUUUUUGAUGGUUUUAAUAUGUAUUACUAAGAUAGGUAUUACUUAUUUUAACUAUUGAAAUUGGAUAGCUUUAGGGCGCAUUUUCAAAAAAAAAACAACAAUUGAUUUCAAAAUAACACGACAACAAGCAAAGCUUCCGCAAUGAAAGUAUUUUCCAAAAUUAAUCACUUUUCCUAAAAAUGACUUAAUCAAAUCGGUUUCCUAGAAAUAUACAUGACGUUAAGGUGUGGCAAUGGCGGUGUGCAUGUUUAGGAUUGGAUCCGAAGGGAGCUUGGUACUUAAGUAGUCCGAUAGACUCACCUCCUCUUUUCCGGUUUCCUACCUGGUGCACAGUUUCCAUUCACUUUAACCUAUAAUGAAAUUAUCUUUUAAAACACUAAGUAGGUUUUUCUGGAUCAACAAUAUAAAAUGUUUUGAAUGCUUCGAUGUGGCAUGUCGGAUCCGGCCAUAACGUCUGGGCUGGGUUUGGGGUGUUACAUCUUCUAUAGGUUAUUGCUUGCGGUGUGGUACUAAAAUAGGAACAUGUCUCUACGUGCUUAGAGAUUGUAGUUUUUCAAUGUAUGUCUAGGCCUCAGUGAUUCUAGUUGGGUUUCGGGAUAGAUUUUUCAACAUGAAAUUACAAUAAUGGUUGGUGUGUAACUUUAAAGCAUACAAAACGUACAUGUGUGAAUGGGGCAUAUUGGAGAACUUUGUUUACCAUUAUAGCUUGGAAAUUGUGGAAAAAUAGGAAUACAUUUGUUUUGUCUUAAGGUCAUGGCAAUAGUAAAGACAUUUUGAUUAUUGUAUGAAGUGGGAUCAGGAUGCUUAAGAAUCAGAGGUAGUUGGCCAUUAGUAUAGAGUAUGAGCUUUGUAAUACAUGGCCUUGCCCAAGGAUUCAUUGAGCCAAAUUAAGUACUUAUGCCUGAGUUUAUCUCAAUUCAAGAGUUGAUUCAAUAGGUGGUUUUCUACGUGAUUUUUGUGCUUUUGGAUCUUAGGAUUUGUUGGGAGUAUGCAGACUACUAGUGUCUUUUAAGUGGAGGCUCAAGCGCUUCUCCAAGGACUGAGGUUGGCUUGGGAAAGAAGGCUUAAACAGCUAGAAAUAGAGUCAAAUAAUGUACUUCUCAUCGACAUGGUGUAGCAAGAACAUGGUGACCCUCAUGUUUUAACAAUGAUCUAACAAAUUCGGUGCUACUAUAAAUAAAAUUAAGAAGUUGUUAUUGAGAUAUAUAAAGUGUAAGGUGAAUAAAUAUGCGGAUUGACUUGCGAGGAUGGGAAGAUUGUUCGAAACUAAUAUGGUCAUCUUUGUUCACCCACCAUUUGGAAUGAUGAGCAUUUUAGAGCAAGAUGGUGCAGGGAGCCAAAAGUAGCUUGAGGAGUCACUAUUGCUUAAUUUUUCCUUUUUGUUAUCUUGUUUUUACAAUAAAAAAUAUUAUCAAACCAACACAUGGGAUGUGAUUUUGAGAAUUUAAAGUUCCCAUUGCCUCUUCAUUACCAUUAAGCUAAGGCUUCAAACAAUUUAUUUUGAUUUCUAAAAUAGACAAGAUAAUAUUUAUAUAAGAUAAAUAAAGAUAGCGCAAGAUCCACUUACAUUAUGUAAAACUCAUUAGUUUUACAUAAAUUUUUAACCAUUAGAUGAAACUAUAUUAGUGGUUAAGAUUAAAACAAACUUUUUUAAUCUUCCCUAAUUUUCUUUAAUAAUAAAACACUUUAACUUUCUAAAUAUAUAUAAAAAAACUAAAACUAAGCCCUUUUCUAGCACAUUUUAGAAUUAUCUUCUUUAUCACAUUGUAACUCUUAUUUUUAAAGAUAAAAAUUUCAUCAAUGUCUCAUUUCAUCAUUUUAUUUUUAUCCUCUAAUAAAUAUUCAGACAAUAUAACCCAUUAAAAGGUUUUGAAACUUUAAAGUCAUUGCUGAGAUAUAAACUAAGUAUUUAGAAUGAGUGAAAAUAGAGUAACUUAUUCAACAUUGAACGAAAAUAGUAAACACAAGAGUUGUUUACGCAGUUUGGUUUCCUCCACCUACGGAACCUACCUUAAUGAGAAAUAUCUACUAUCUUCAAUACUUACAACAAGUGAUCCUAAUCUUUCCCACACUCGUCACAAUUUCCUCACCUUUGCCCCUUGAAGAAUGAUACUCUCACCACUAAAUUCACCCUUGUGAACUCAACAUGUAAAACAUACACAAUAAAUUAAGGUUUUACUAUCAAUUCACACUCAUACAAUAAAUUUCCUUACAAGGAAAAAUUAAGUGCUUAAUUUUCUCAGUACAAAAACCUAUACAAGUCUUUCAAUUAUAUAGAAUAUUUUAAUACUUGGUAAUAUAAGAAUAUAUUUAUCAAUCCCAAUCAAACAAUAAUAGAAUAAACAAAAUACCAUACAAUAAUAAAGUAGAAAGUAAAAUGGACUCUUGGCAGCUAAGCAACCAUGUUUCAAUUCAAUCCACUAUCUACGACCCAAUGUAUUAAAUGAAGGUGAUCCGAUUUGAUCCAAUCUCCAAAAUAUGUUUCCCCAAGGGAUAUGAUCUUCAUUUAUGGGCUAAGUAUUAUCUAUAAACUUAGCACAACCUAUAAAUAUUGUUCAAUAAAUUGCCAACAUUUCAAAUAUGGAAACUGUCUCAAACAACUCUAGUGGUCAAGGAGUGGGCACUCCCUUAGCAUUAAAAUACAUUUUCCAUAUUUUUCAAUUAUCCCCCUUUGGAAAUUUAAUGAAAAAAACAUACACAAUACAAGAACAUAUAACAUCAAGUAACUUCAACUCUGUAACAGCCCGUUUUCAAUGAAAUCUAUAAUAUCCCGAAUUAGGGCAAUUAGAAUAGUGGUUUUGUGACCACAAAUUUGAGAUAGAAAUAAUUCUUUUAUGAUUAUUUUGAGGUCUAUGAUAUGAUUUCAUGAUUGUGUGAAAAUUUCGUGAAGAAAUUCUAUGCAUAAAGUGCUUAAUUUGAAGUUAGGGACCAAAUUGAAUAAGUUGCAAAACUUGCAUUCUAGAAGUUUCUAGUAUGAAAUUGCUUUGAAAUAUUAAUUAAGAGGUCUUAAAUAGAAAUUUGACCAAUUUCUAAGUUUAUGGACAAAAAUUGGACAUGGAUGGAAUUUUUGGAAAGUUUAGUAAAAAAGGGCAUUUUGGUCAUUUAGGGGUAAAAUGAAUUAAAAUACAAAAUUAAAAGCCAAUUUUGUUCAUCUUCUUCACCAUGGACGUGUAUACCAAGGGAGACUCCAUGGCUAGGGUUUCCAAGCUUCCAAGAUCGAUUGUAAGUCCGUUCUAGCCUCGUUUUUAAUGAUUUUUACAUUUUUGGAGUCCCGGUAACUUGAUUUAGCUUAUGCUAGCAAUAAUUCAACCUAGGGUUCAUAAUUGGAAAAAUACCCAUAGGUGAAAUUUGUGUAUUUUGGUGUUUUAUGAUAGAAUAUGAGGUUUUAAAUUAUGUUAGACAACUUGUGCUACUCGGUUUUAAGUGAGAAUGAGUAAAAGGGCUUAAUCGGUAAAAAUACCUAAUAGUCAUAAAUACAUGUUAGAGUGAGAAUUUGAUGUUGCCAUAGAAGGGAAAAGUGAUCAACAUGUCAUAAAACAUAAGAAAAUAGGAUGAAGUUUAAUUUCCGAACCUUAGGGAAAAAGUGCAAAUAUGCAAAAGUUUAGGGGUCAAAAUGAAAAUUUGUAAAAAUAUGAUUUUUGGACCGUAUGAAUAGUGUGACUAAUUAUUAGGCUAAAUGUGAUAUUAUAGAUGAAGGAAAUCGAGAUUCGGGCUUAAAUCAGGGAAAUACAAGGUUAUGAACUAAAAUGGUAAAUUGUCGUUUCUGAAUCGAGGUAAGUUCGUAUGAUAAUAAUAAUGCAAUGUUAUGUUUGAAUUAUAUUUCUUACUAUUCUUUCAAAUAUUGUAUGAUUUAAUAUAUUGGAAAAGUUGAUGGAAUGGUGUUUAUGAUGUGGAAAUAUGACAUGAAAGAAUGUUACAAGAAAUGCAAAAAAAAGAAAGAUGAUACAUGACAAGUGAUAUAUGAAAUAUGUGAUAUAUGUUAUGUAAAUUCUUAAAAGCUGAUUUGAUAUUUGAGUUGUGUCUUAUUAUACUAUGAAUGGACAAUUGGUACUAUGGAUAGUGAGAUCGACACUUCGAGUAAGUUCGUACAUAAAUAAUCUAUCGAUUCUUUUUAUGUUAUUAUAUUUUGAUAUCAUAUGAAAUGUGGCUGCCUAUCAAAUGGUUAUUUGAUGUAAGUUAUGAAUUUAAAUUGAUUAUGGACAAUUUAGUAAAAUAUUGAAAAGUGAGGAAUUUCCCGGUUGAACAUUCGGAAUAGAAAUGAUACAAAUGAACUACUGUGAGGUCACGUUGUAGUACUAAGUGCAGGCUACUACGUGUACCGGAUAAUUGGUCGCAGGUGUAGUACUAAGUGCAGGCUACUAUGCGUACCCGAAAACUGUGAUCACGUGUGUAGUACUAAGUACAGGCUACUACGUGUACCAGAUUAUUGGUCGCAUGUGUAGUACUAAGUGCAGGCUACUAUGCGUACCAGAUAGCUUCGGCUACAAGUGUGGAAAUGGGAAAAUGUGCAGGCAAUUGUGUAUCUGUUAUUAUUCCGAUGAGUUCAACGAGAAAUCGAUUAAAUGAAAAUACAUGUGAAAGUGAUUAUGUGAUGAACAAGUGCAACUAUAUGUUUAUUUGAAUUUAUGAGCAAUAUGCUCGAUAUUUGAGCGAACCUCGGUAAAUUGGAAUGGAUUAAGUGAAUUGUGUAAAAGUGAACUUUAGUAGUAAAACAGUGUUGAACAGCAGCAGUGCAUGACUUUGAAAAUUUACCAAAAAUUGUGUAAGUUGAAUUAAAUUUCAAAAAAACUUAUGGAAUUAAAGAUUAAUAAGUCUAUUUUCAUAUAAAAGAAACAGGGGGAGCAAAAGAGUUAUAUAUUAUGUGAUAUUAUAAUUUUUGUGAGACAGUGUCAGAAUAAAUUUGAGAUCCCCUAUUCUGAAUUUAUAAAUUCACCAUAAAUUGUAUAAAAAUUAUUAAGAGUCAUACCUUACAUGCAUGGAUUCCUUAUUGAGUCUAUUUUUAAGGGAAACAAACGGAAUGGUCGUUUAAAUUCUGUACAGGGAGAAAUUUAGUUCGUAGUGCACAGGGGUCCGAGUACUCAUACCCUAAAAUAGGGGAAACUUUAAUGAAUAAAAUGUACUAAUUGGAUAAACCAACAAUUCUGGAAAUUUUAUGGAAGAAAUAUAUAUGAAUUUAGUUUUAAGGAAAAUUAACGAAACCAAAUUUGGAGUUUUUUAUCUUCAGAUAUGAAUUAUUUAGUAACUAUAACUCGAUAACAUAGCUUAACCUGAACAUGUGUAAUUGUACAAUUAUAGUGUUUUAUCUUGAAAAGCGUGGUAGUAAUUGCUUAUUAUUUUCAUAUGAACUUACUAAGUGUAAAGCUUACCCAUCCUCUCCAUUUCUUUAGUAUUGGCAGGUCGGCUUGGGGUUGGAGAUCGUUGGAGGGAAAAUCAUACAUCAAACUAUCAUUUUGGGAGAAUUAAUUCAAAUAUUAGAAAUAUCAAGUGAGUGGCAUGUAUAGGAAGUUGGUUUGUGAUAUGUAUUUUUAUUAUGAUUUUGACCAUACGUAUCAGUCUGCAUUGAGUUAUCGUAUAUGAUCAUGAGAUGUAGUCCUUAUCCGUUAUGGUUUAUAAGUUUAAUUAAUCGUGCCAUGUCCUAUGUUUUGAUGUGAUGAUAUAGUUAGCUUUGUUUGUUAUGCAUGUGUUCGAAAAGUUUUGAAUUAAAUGAAAUUUUAUGGCUCGGUUUUCGUCUAUGUGUAUUGUUAAGUCUGGUAAUGCCUCGUACUCUGUUCCAGCCUUGGAUACGGGUAAAGGGUGUUACAAAAUCAGAACAGUGGUUUCGGGACCACAAAUCCGAGUCCAUAAUGAAAUUUAUUUUAAUAUUAUUUCAUGGUCUGCAUUAUGAUAGGAAUGUAGUAUAAAAAUUUCGUUAAGAAAAUUUUACUGAUUACAUGUCUAAUUUGAUAAAUGACCAAAUUGCUAAAGUGCAAAAGUUGGAUUCUAAUAGAUAAAGGGAUCAAAUAGCUAUGAAAUUCAAAAUUUGACGUCAUUAUAUGGAAAAUAGACCAGUUAGAUGAGUUAGUAGAUAAGUAUGGUUAGUCAUCCAUGGAAAAUUAGAAAAAGAAAAAGACUAAAUUGGAAAGUAGAAAUAAUAAAGGAUGAUAAAAAAUCAAAUAACAAAAUAUCAUCUUUUUCAUCAUCUUUCCUAAAUUAUUUUACAUGGAAACCCUAGCUAAGAGAAAAGAAUUCAAGCAAGCUUAUUUGGCUUAAUUGGGUAAGUAAUCUUGUCUCGUUUUUAGUAAUUUUUAUAUUCCGAGAUCGUAAUAGCUUAAUCUAGCUAUCUCAGGGAUUAAUUUGUAAAGUUAUCAAUGUAUUAAAGUUUUGGCAUGGAUGAAUAUGCACGAAUUAUGCAGUUUUAUGGUAGAAAAUGAAAGGUUGUUGAUAGAUAAACAACUUUUGUAAAGGAAAUUUUGAUGAAAUUAUGAUUUAGGGACUAAAUUGAAAAGAUGUGAAAUUUAUGGAAAAAAUUCUUAUUUUUGUGAAAUAUAUGGGCUGUUAUUGUAACAUGUAAAAAUCGGUUAGGCUUGGAAUAAGGAUUAAAUUGCAUGAUUUUUAAUUUCCGAGCCUAAGGACAAAUUUGUCAUUAAUUAAAAGUAUAAGGGUAAAAUGGUAAUUUAGCCUAAGAUGUGAAUUGAAUAUGAAUUUUAUUAAAUUGAGCUAAAUUUACUCGUAUAAAUUUGAAUAGACCAAAUACGGAGCUAGAUCGAGGUAAAGAAAAAGUAACAAAUUAGUAGCAUACAAGCUCACGAACAUUGUCGAGGUAAGUUCGUGUAACUAAAUUGUGUAUCUUUAUAUGCUUGAAUUGAAUGUUGUGUAUGUGAUUAUAUUGUUAUGAAUCUGAAAUUAAUAUUAUAUUCGACAAUGCCUGACAAACAUCAAGUCCCGGUUGAAUAAAUGAAAUUCUUGGAUACAGGAUUUCCCAUAUUAGUUGUAGUCCUGCAUAUGUUGCAGACACACCACAGCUUAAAAAGCGUCUCGUUAAUAGCCCUCUUGAGCUUCCCACUAUAUUUUUCUUGUGAGCUUCCCGUUAAUAGCUCUUCAGAGCAUCCUAAUCAGUUGUGAUCCUGCAUGUGUUGUGGACACGUCGCCGCUCUUAUGAGCGUCCCGUUAUAUGGCUCUUUAUGAGCUUCUUGAUUAAUGGCUCUCCGGAGCUUCCCGAUAUGGCUCACUUGAACUUCCCGAUACUUCUUAUUUAAUAGCUUUUCGAAGCUACCCACUAUUGGCUUGCAUGAGCUUCCCGAUUAUGGCUCUUAUGAGCUUUCCGUUAUAUACCCGGAUAAGCUUCUCGUUACAUGGCUCACAUGAGCUUCCUGUUAUAUAGCUCGAGAGAGGACUUCCCGAUUAUGUGAUUUAAUGAGCACUCUCGAAUAUGAAUUGACGGAUUACAUAUUUAUACACUUCUUGUGUAUUACCGUGUAUCCAUCGAUAUUUCAAAUAGUUUAACAGUCAAACUUUUGAUAUAAGUUAAGGCGAAUUUUGAAUGAGAUAUUACCUAUAUACACCUGAAAUCACAUGGAAAUUUGAUAUUUGAUGAGCUCAUCCCUAAUUAUUGAUAUUCAAAUGAAAUAUAUGACUAACAUGUUGAUGAAGUUGUGUGUUUAGGCUAUUAGCCAAAUUGCUUGGAUGCAUUUUUUAUGCUUACUUUAAAUGUAAAUGAAUGGUAAGUUUGUUUCCUGUUAUACGAACUUACUAAGCUUUAAAUGCUUACUCUAUUUUAUUUCCUCUAUUUUGUAGUAGCUCGGAAGCUCAUUAAGGUUGGAAGCUGGUCAGAGACACAUCACACUACCCAUCAGCUCAUUUCGGUAUAAAUAGUAAAUUAAUUUUGGUUAUAAUGGCAUGUAUAGGUUUAAAUAGCCAAUAUUGGCAUAUAAAUGUUUUGGUUGUAAUUAGCCAUUGGAAUGGCUUAUGUUGAAUGUAUUUUGAUGAAAAUAUAUGAAAUAAUGUCAUGUUUGAUAUAAGUAUUUAGUAUGGUAAAUUGAUAGUAAACUUCAUAAGUAUAUCUAGAUGCAUCUGUGGUCAAAUAGGUAAAUUUGGAUAUAUGAAUUUAUGAAGUAAUAUGUCAUGCAUAAGACUUGAUUUUUGGCUUGGUUUAAAUGUCUUGGAUUGGCUUGUGUAUGUGUUAAAGUGUUUAUGUAGGUGAAAGACUAUUUGGGUGAGAAAAUUUGCCUUGAAAAUGGCCUAUUUUCGUCCACACGGGUAGAGACAUGAGCAUGUGUCUCAGCCGUGUGUGACACAUGGCCUAGCACAUGGGCAUAUGGUUUGGUCGUGUAUCUCCUGCAUCUUUAAAAUUUAAAACAGUAUGCUCAGGAUUUAUCACAUGGCUUGGCACACGGGCGUGUGGCCUGGUCGUGUGACCCCUAGACCUAUACACGACCUAGCACACGGGCAUGCGACUUGGCUGCGUGACAAAAGUUAGAGAGUUACACGUGUACAGACAUGAGCUGGGACCCGACCAUGUGCCCCAUUUUGAAUGCCUACAUGGCUUGAGACAUGAGCGUGUCUCUUGAUCGUGUGAGCCACACGGCCUGACCACACGGGUGUGUGUACCUUGUACUUAGGAAAAAUUUUGAUAUUUUGCGAAAAAUUCUCUGAGUAUCCAGUUUAGUUCUGACUUGUUUCUAAUGUAUGUUUUGGGCCUCGAGGGCUCAUACAAGGGACUUUAUGAAUAAUGUCUGAUAUGAACGUUAAAUAAUAUGAAGUUGUAGUAGCAGCAAUAGCAAAUAAGUAGCAUUAAUAACAAUCAUCCAAAAAAAGUUAAAAAUUUGAAAACUCCUCAUUAAUACAAUAGUAGAAGCAUCACAUCUCCCCCUUUUAAUAUUCCUCCCCCUCAAUCCAUAGCCUCCUCCAACAUUUCUUCCAUUCUCCCCCUUUUUAGUCAACAAAGUGCCAAGUUAUUCCUCAUCAAGUAGGUCUAGGAGAUCAUACAGUAAGGAAUUUUCUCUGUCAAUCAUAUUCUUUAUGGCUUUGGCCUCAAUUCUUAGCCUAUCACAGUGCAUAUAAUUAAAUUCAAUUGAAGCAUAGAGUUUAACAAUGUGAUAACUAAGAAUUAUGAAGUUGAGAAUUCACUUGCUAUGAAAAUGAUGAGACAAUGCAUGAGUUAAUAAGCACUUAUUUGUAGAAUAACCUCUCGAUAAUACAUGGCAUAACUUACCCAAAAAAUGUGUUAAAGUGAUAUGGUUACCUAAUGAUCCAAUGGUUAAAUGUAUUAAGAAAUAAUAAUAAUUUGUGCCUAUUUGAAAUAGGAUAAUGUGUUAAGCACUCCAUAAUCCUAUGAGGCCUUCUGUGGUAAUACAAGUCAUGUGACAAGUUAAUGAUAAGAAUAAAUAUAUGUAAUAUUUAGGUGUCAUUAAGCACCAACCGUGUGAUACGUGUUACGUGAAACUUGUUAUAUUAAUUAUGAAUAUUGUAAUUGAUUAAUGAUAUGAAAUGUAACGCCCUAAAUUUCUUAUUUCUACUUUUGUGAAAAUGUGAAAAAAGUGUGUAUCUACUUCAGUGGCUUAGUGUUCUAGGAGUGUGUGAGAGGUCUUGGGUUUAAGGCUUACCCUGGGAAAAUUUUGUUAUUUUUUGAAUAAAGCGCUAUCUCUGUUCAGUGGGCUUAUAUUAAAUUAUUGUAGAACCAUAUCAGAAUAAGCCUACUGGUUUGAGUGGUAAGGGAGUUAAAGUGUUGGAGGUCCUGUGUUCGAAUCCCUACGCGAGCAUGGAAGUUUAUUUUUGCUCAUUUGACCAAGAGAGUUUUGGUCAAAUAAGAAUUCUGAGGAAGUUAUCAGUAGUGGGGUAGUGUACUGAAUUAGGGGAUUUUGGGAUAAUUCAAUUUCAUUCUUUUUUUUCAAAAUUAUUUCUAGAAAAAAAAUGUCAUUAUUCCUCUUCUCCUCACUGCCAAAAUUCUAUCUCCCCCUUCUUCACUUCUUUUCUUUUCAAUUUCCUUUCUGAAUCAGUAUCGUUCUUUUUGUGCAACAUUGGGCUGUGUUCGUUCGGUAAGUUUUUUUUUGUUAAGUUUUAAUAUUAUUCGACUUAGUAAUUGAUGAAGAGUUUGUGUUGUUACUAUCGAUUUAGGCGAAGAGCAAGAUUUGGCUGGGGUUCCUGCAAUAAUUUAAGUGUUUAAGGUUUGGUUCAAUAACGGUAAGUCUUCACGCGCGUUGAUUAAUAGUAUAACGCUUUGAUUGUGAAUUAAGUUCAGUUGUGAUUUCAUAAGUAUUAUAAAUUUAGGCUCUGGAAUGUCAAUUUCUAGGUUUUAGAGGUCUCAGGAUUAUGUUAACUGUGAAAAUGAACCAGGUGUGUACCCAAAACACAGAAAAAUGAAAUUCGACGAAAGUAGAAAAACCCCUCUGUCAAUGCCACACAGCAGUGUGGUAGGCUGUGUGCGACGACCCGGCCGUGUAAUCGACGAAGGCUAGGCAUGCGCGAGACACGAUCGUGUGAUGGUCGGGGUGUGGCCAUGUGGGCCACACGGGCUAGGCCAAAUUAGGCAUGUGGGCCACAUAGGUGUGUUGGCCUACACGGGCUAGGCCAAAUUAGUCAUGUGGGCCACACAGGUGUGUUAGCCCACAUGGGCACGUCACACGGGCAUGUGAUAUCUGGGCCAGGCCGUGUGAUCCACAUGGAAAGGCCAAUCCGAGCGUGUGGGCCUACACGGGUAACCCACACGGGUGUGUGGGCCCAUUGUACUAAAAUUCUCCAUAGGGUCACACAGGUCGUCCUAAUCAACUGUGGGCUUAUCGUAGGGUUAGUAAAUGCUAUCUAACCCUAAAAACCAAAUGAUCUGUUAGUCUAAAAUAUGGUUAUGAGCAUGCCUAUGUUUGUAUAUCUUUUAUCUGUUAAUGAAAGCAUGUUAAGCAUGAUUUAUCUGUUAAUUAUGUGUGCAUGUUCUGUUACUAUGAUUGGGGUGGGAUGAUAUAUAUAUUGGAGGAAGUGUUCUAAAAGGCAGAUUAUGUCUAAUAUCGGGUAGCACAGCAACAUUAUAUCUUAUAUGUGCUGCAUCGAUACAGCGUGGUAUGUAAGGUUAUGUGGGUGUAACAUCCCGAAUUAGGGCCCAGUCAGAACAUUGGUUUCGAGACCACAAAUUCGACGUAAGAAAAUUUAUUUUUAUAAUAUUUUUAUGGUCUACAAUUUCACGAAAUGUUUUCGUGAAAACUUCGUUUGAAAAUUUUGACGUUUGGGCACUCAAUUUGGUCAAAAGGACUAAAUUAUAAAAAGUGAAAAAGUUGAGUUCUACAUGUUAGAGGUGUCUAAUUGUUAUGAAAUAUUAAAUGGGAGGUCCUUAAAUGGUAAUUAGACCAUUAGUUAAUUUCUGGACAAAAAUAGACAUGAAAUGGGUGUAAUAAAAUAUUUUUAAGUUAGUGGCAUUUUGGUAAACUAAUAAUUAAAAGAAUUAAAAAGCCAAAAUAACCAAAAUUUGGUCAUCUUCUCCAUGUACCAGCCGAAACCCCAUGGAAGCCAUGGUUAGGGUUUGGUUCAAGCUUCCUAGCUCAUUUGUAAGUGCUCUCGAGCCCCGUUUUUAAAGUUCUUUACAUUUUUGAAAUCCAGGUAACAUGUUCUAACUAUUUCUACCAUUAUUUUGAGCUAGGGAUUAUGUUUAAAAGUUUACCCAUGAGUAAUAUGCAUGCAUUUUGAUGUCUAAUGGUAGAAAAUGAGUGUUGGGUGUUUAAAAAACGACUUUUACUAAGCGGUUUUCGAUGAAAACGUCCGAAAUGACCGUUUUGUAAAAGUUGUAAAAUUAGUCUUAAAUGGGUGAUUUAGUGGAAAUUAGGGGUUUUCAUAGUUAUAAAAAAUGAUCAGAAUGUCAUAAAACAUAAGAAAAUAGGAUGAAUUUUAAUUUCCGAGCAUUGGGGCAAAAAUGCAAAAAUGCAAAAGUUUAGAGGUCAAAAUGAAAAUUUGUAAAAAUAUGAUUUUUGGACCCCUAUGAAUAAUGUGACUAAUUAGUAGGCUAAAUGUGAUAUUAUAGAUCAAGGAAAACAAGAUUCAGACUUAGAUCGAGGUCGAACAAGGUUAAGCGCAAACUCGAAAUAAACAGUCGUACUCGAAAUCGAGGCAAGUUCAUAUGACAAUGACAAUGCAAUAAUAUUAUUGUUCAUACUUGAACUCAAAUUGAUGUGUUAACAUUGUGUGAUGGAUAUUUAUUUAGUUUAUAUGAAGAUUAUAUAUUGUAACAAAUGCCAAAUUAUAAUUAUAUGUAAUAUCAUGUUUAUCUUAUAGACUAAUGUCUAAAUAAACAUGGAAAUGUGUUGAAUUGGAUGUACAUGGUAUGAGCAGCUAUGCAUAAUGAGAUACUUGAUGAAAAGAAAAAAAUCUCGGUUGAAUAAAAAGGGAAAUUCAAUGGAUAAACCAUGGCUUACAUGACUUGAGAUCCUGUAUGUGUUGCAGAAAAGGAUUUAGCCCGAACGGGUAAUCCGUGAUCUCAAGUAUGAAAAGGAUCUAGCUCGGAUGGGUGUUCCUUAAGUGAUUGAGCCUCCCGAAGAAUAUGUGUCCAUUAAGGAUUUAGCCCGGACGGGUAAUCCGAUUGGGGUCUGAAUUUAGCCUGGACUGGUAAUUCAGAUCUGAGCUCAUUGAGAGUGCUUGUUGUUACAAGGGAUUUAGCCUGGACUGGUAAUCCCGACAUCACUCCAUGAGUUUAUAUUACGGGGGAUUUAGCCUGGACUAGUAAUCCCGCCAUAAGAUGUGAGGUUCGCGAGAGUGCGCAUAUGAAAUGAUCACUUGUAUGAAUUGAAGGUGAAUGGGAUAUCCAUCAAGAUUCUGAGAAAUUCAACGAGAUUAAUAUGAGAAACAAAAUACAAGGCUCUUGCCAUGAUACAUAAUGUAUGGUAUAUGAUAAUAUUAUGAUGCAUGUGAGUUGUCAUGUUUGGACGGGUGCGGUGCUAAAUGAUAGCACAGGUAAGUACUCGAGACCCAUGAACACGUGUUUGACAUGUGAAAUGAAAUGGACUUAUGACAAUGGUGCAAAUGAAUGAAAGACAUCUAUGAGAAUAUUUUCUACGACAAUUUGUGAUGGUUAUUAUCUUGUUGCACCAGGACAGAUUUGGUACAGCAGCAUUGGUUAGACUUUGAAAAUCCACUAAAAGUUGUGGAAAUUGAAUUAAGGACAGAAUAAAAUAUAGAAUUAAAUCUUAAUGAGUCUAGUUUCAAAUAAAGGAAAUGGUAUAAGCAAAAGAACUCUGUAUCAUGAGAUAUUUGAAUUCUUGUGAGACAGAGUUGGAGUGAUUCUUGACUCCCCUGUCUCAACUUUUGAAAAUCACUAGAAAUUGUAAAAAAAUAAUUAUAAGUUAAAAUUCAUAUGACUGAAAUCCUUAAUGAGUCUAAUUUUAGGAGAAAAAUAUAGGAACAUUAUCUGAGUCUCGUACUAGGAGAGAAAUAAAUUUUAGUGAAGAAAGGUCGAAGAUGUCAAACAGCGAAAUAGGGGAGAAUUUGAAUAAUACACUGUACUUAUUGGCUAGACCAAAAAUUUUAAAAAUUUUAUGAUAAGAAGAGAUAUGAGUCUAGUUUCUGGAAAAAUUAACGUAUAUUAAUUUGGAGUUCCGUAGCUCGAGUUAUAAAUAAUUUAUCGACUAUGACUCGAGUAGACAGCUUGACCAGAAUAUGAAUAAAAGCAAAAUUAUAGUAGUUUUACCUAAGGAAACAUGUUAUUAUAAUGCUUAUUAUUUUCAUAUGGACUUACUAAGCAUAAAGCUUACUCCUCCUUUCCAUCUUUUUAGUUUUGACAGGUCAGCUCGGGGUUGGAGAUCGUUGGAGGCAGUAUCACACUAUCGAGCCUUUACCCUUGGAGUAUUAUGUUAAACGUGUUCAAAUGAGUGACAUGUAUAGGGACUUAGUUUUUCUAUGAUCGAUGUCGUUGUGAUUAGCCAAAUGUAUUGGCUUAUAAUGAUUUGUUGUAUGUAGCCAUGAGAUGUGGAUUAUAAUGAUUUUGGCUUGUAAGCCUAUUCAUCCAUGAUAUAUGUAAAUGUCUUGUGAUGUGGGCAUGUGAUUAUGCUUGUUCACUAUGUAUAAGAAGUAUAUAACAUAUGUACAUAGUGAAUGUCUUAGGACCAUUUGAGGUGGUCAUGGCUAUGGAAUAAAUGUGUGAUAUAGUAAUAAGUUGUUAGUGCCCUGAACAUGGAUGUUUAAUUUAUAAGUUAGUAAACAUAGUAUAAUGGUACAAGGAGUAGAAAAGGGGUGACUUAAGGCUUGGAAAAUAUCCUAUUAGGGUCCACAUGGUUGGACAUACUGGUGUGUGUCUAGGCUGUGUGUGACACACGGUUUUCUCCCAUGGGUGUGUGCUAUGGCCGUGUGUCCCCUACAUUUAAAAUUUUGAGUUAGUAUAGGACACGGGUAGGUCACACGGGCGUGUCCCCUAGUCGUGUCCCAAAGUCAGUAUUGAACACGGGCAGACAGCAUGGGUAUCUGCCAUGGCCGUGUUUAAAAGUCAGUGUUGCCCACGGGCUAAGUGCAUGGGCGUGUCCCAAGCCACAAGGGCGUGUGAGCCCACACGGCCCACCUACAUGGGCGUGUGGCACUCCAAAGCUAGAAAUUUAUUAAGUUUCCCAAAGUUUACCGAAUGUUUUCAGUUUUGUCCCGAACUGCCUUAAUGUAAGUUAUAGGCCUCGAUGGCCUGUUUAAGGGACAAUAGCAUAUGUUCUUAAAGUUUUAAAUUUUGGGCGAAAUUUAGUGACCCGAUUUUGUAUGUUUAUGAAUGUUUGAGUCUGGUAAUGCCUUGAGCCCUGUCCUGAUGUUGGAUACGGGUGAAGGUUGUUACAUUUAGUGGUAUCAGAGCUAUGGUUUAGUCGGUUUCGGACUAACCUAGCAUAUGUAUGAGAGUUCAGCUAUACAUGCCACCGAUCUGUGAUAGUGUGAUGUCUCCAGACGUGUAUGAGAGUCAUUUUGUUUAGACAAUGGUGCCCUCGAACCGAGCUAUACCGACCAUGUUUGAUGAGAAGCUAAGGCAUUCGGGUAAAGUACAAUUAUGAUGAGCUUAAAAUUUGAAUAGUAUGAAUAAAAAUUCAUGAUAUGUACACAAUAACAUAUGAGAUGAAAGUUUAAACUGUGAUGUAUUUGUCCAUAUUUGAUUAGCCUUUAUAAAAGGUUAUAUGCCUGAUUUAUUGGAUUGACUGAAUGAGAUUAGUAAGCUGUCCAAAAUCCAUAGAAUGUAUACCUAAAUAUACUUGUUUAAAUAAGAUAACUGAAAAGUUCUUGUCAUAUGAACGUGAAUAAAAGUUUGCCUGAAGUGCAUGAUAUGUUUAUGAAAAUGUUAUUUUGAUAAUGAACUAGUGAUAUAUGUAUAUGAGUAUGAGAAACAAGUUAGGGAUUUUACAACCCCACCCCCUUACCAAAGUGGUGUUUUGUGAAGGAGUUUCACAAGAAUCGUACUGAAUAAGUCCACAAAUAUGAUACCAAAGGGUUCAGCUAUAAAAUGGUUACGAACAUGACCAGAGAUUAAAUCGUGUUGAUAAGUAAUGACAGGACUAGUAAGGUAAGAUUUUAGGAAAUGUAUUAACUGGAGAUUUCUUCAGAACUGAACUUCUUUAAUGAGAAGCAUAAUGUGAGAAUUAUGAUGGUAGAAAUAACUGAAGGAAUAAUAUUGAAAGGUAAGAUACCAGAUUAUUGCAAUCUUUUUCGAAGUAUUCUGUAUGUUUAACUGUUCUCGGAACUAUUUUUACGGUUACUGCCCUACUGAUAAAAUCCUUGAUUUAUUGGAGUGCUUCCUAAUCACGAAGUAUAGAUGAAAAUAUUAAUAGUCUGAUUGGUACAUAAUCUGUAUUGCUCUAUGUCUCUCUAGCAUAUCAUUACAUUCCAUCUAAUGGGACUUUGUAACGCCCCAAUUUUCGGGAAUUCUGUGAAUGUUGGCAAAAUUUCAUGUUUUAAUUUUGUCAUUUGUGAGUGAAAUUAUGAAAUAGGACCUAUGUGAAAAUGUUUGAAAAUGCUAUAGGCUAAUUUGUAGUGGCCAAAUAAAUAGUAGUGCAAAAUAGGAGGAUUUGUAUGUCAAACCUCCCAUUUUACAAGAAGUGGCCGGCCAUCAUGUUGUUGAAGACAAUAUGUGCACUUGAUAUCCAUAAUUUAUGGUACAAAUUGAUAAAAAAAUUGAUAAUGGGUUAGGUAAAUGUUCAAUGAUGGGCAUGAUAAGUAUUAUGGGCAUUUUUUUUAUUGACAUUAUGGCAUAGGUAUGGCACAAAUAAUAUAAGUUAUUUUGUGUCAUAAAAUGUUGGGUAAUAAAAUAAAAAAAGGAUGAAAAGAACAAAGUUUUGUCCAUCUUUGUUCAUCAUAGCAGAAAGUUAGAGAAGAGGAAGGAGAGGAGAAAGCUCUUGAGUAUUCGGUCACUAGGAGGAGGAAAAUUGAAGGUAAGUUCUUGGUACCUUGCUUCUAUUUUGAGGUUCAUGAGUUCUUCUUGAUUCUACCUUAACUCUUGAAGCAUAUUUUGGUUUUUAGUUGUGUUGUGAGCAUUUAGUCAUGAAUUAAAAUGAAGGAAAUGGUUGUUGUUUCAUUUUCUUUUGAUGAAAAAUGGAAGAUAGGUGAAGUUGAGCCAAACAAAUGAGCAUGCAUGUGCCUUAGAUGCUAAAGGGAAAAAUCGGCUAACAUGUUGUGCUUUAAAAUGAUUAAAUAGAGAUUAUAC
rnacentral:lncRNA from 1 species